GACGCCUACAGGCUAUCUACUGUUCAAAAGUGAAUUGUUAUACACAGUGCAGCAGCUGACCGUUGACCUGUGAGCUUCAGCCUCUUUGCUGGUGUGAAGUGUUUAAUGUGACGCAGCCUGCAGACACAGACGACUGCUGACGGAGAAGAAGCAGAGGAUUUUCUCUGUUUCUACACAGACCUGGUCCAGACAGCAGAGAGCUGCAGAGUGAAGACGUUCAUUGGAAGAAGCUGACUCCUUAGAUCACAUGACCUGGAUGACUGAACCUACAGACAUAUUGACCUGGUUUCAUGGUCACAUGACAGACUGACUGAAGAUGAUGAUGGAGGAAGAGGAGGACAGAGC